GAAGGGGGCUAGCGUUGUUCGGAAUUACUGGGCGUAAAGCGCGCGUAGGCGGGUUCUUAAGUCAGGGGUGAAAUCCCGAGGCUCAACCUCGGAACUGCCUUUGAUACUGAGAGCCUAGAGUCCGGGAGAGGUGAGUGGAACUCCUAGUGUAGAGGUGAAAUUCGUAGAUAUUAGGAAGAACACCAGUGGCGAAGGCGGCUCACUGGCCCGGUACUGACGCUGAGGCGCGAAAGCGUGGGGAGCAAACAGGAUUAGAUACCCUGGUAGUCCACGCCGUAAACGAUGGAUGCUAGCUGUCGGGCAGUAUACUGUUCGGUGGCGCAGUUAACGCAUUAAGCACCCCGCCUGGGGAGUACGGUCGCAAGAUUA
rnacentral:rRNA from 1 species